rnacentral:rRNA from 1 species
AUUGAACGCUGGCGGCAGGCCUAACACAUGCAAGUCGAGCGGCUGAAGGGAGCUUGCUCCUGGAUUCAGCGGCCGACGGGUGAGUAAUGCCUAGGAAUCUGCCUGGUAGUGGGGGAUAACGUCCGGAAACGGGCGCUAAUACCGCAUACGUCCUGAGGGCGAACGUGGGGGAUCUUCGGACCUCACGCUAUCAGAUGAGCCUAGGUCGGAUUAGCUAGUUGGUGGGGUAAAGGCCUACCAAGGCGACGAUCCGUAACUGGUCUGAGAGGAUGAUCAGUCACACUGGAACUGAGACACGGUCCAGACUCCUACGGGAGGCAGCAGUGGGGAAUAUUGGACAAUGGGCGAAAGCCUGAUCCAGCCAUGCCGCGUGUGUGAAGAAGGUCUUCGGAUUGUAAAGCACUUUAAGUUGGGAGGAAGGGCAGUAAGUUAAUACCUUGCUGUUUUGACGUUACCAACAGAAUAAGCACCGGCUAACUUCGUG